AUGUACUUAAGAAAACAAUAUAAGUUAAAAAUAAUUAAAAUAACAUUUGGGGAGGGGGAAAUAAUGUGCCUCGAAGCACAUGGCGGACAGUGUGGCAAAUCACAGGAAUUCUCACUCCAAAUGGAAUGGCAGUGUGUGGUCUUGGUUAAGCAGAUGGCUAAAGAUGUUUGGCCUUGGAAACGUUGGCAUUUGAAUGAGAAAAAUGGAGGGAAGAGGAAGAACACACCUUGGCAUGCCAGGUGUGCUCUGAUCAGAUUAAUCAGUUGUGUGCGUCACAUUGCCACGGCAUUACCAGCCAUGCAAGUCCCUCCACCCUGUAGAUCUCUUUCUCUGCGUCAUAUGUGCAAGUCUGAGCCAGAAUGGAGAGAUUUGUAUAACAUGUAGGUCAGAGUUUGUACUAGCAUUUACAGUCAACUUUAUUUAAUCACAUUUCAGUUGUGUUUUAUACGUUUAUACAACAACUAGUACAUAUAAAAGUAACCAAACUCCACCUUCAAAUCUGUCCAUAACCUGAUUAAAUGUUUGAUUUUGAUUAAAUUCAGACAUUCCAUCUAACUCAAGUCUAAACAUGUUACUGCACUCAGCUAAACUUAGAUGUACUGAUCUUUACUUGCUGAUCACAAUAACCAUUUCUAAAACAGCUAUUUUUAUUAUUCCUCUAAUGCUCUUAGACACGUGUACUAGUCUAUUGAGAUUUUCAUGUUGUGUGAACUGAGAAUCAUGACUCAGACUUUUAUUGCUGAACUGCAAUCCGCAAACAAAAGACCUGAAGCAGCAUGUUUACAGGUCAUUUUUACAGUUGCAAAUAGACAUAUUGCAAACCAAACCGCAAAUAACACAUAUAUAAAACAAUACAUGUGUUGUAAUUAUAUACACAAUUACAAAAUUCCUAACACUGUUUUUCAUCGAAAUGAAUGAAAUAAAAAUAAAUCAAAUGACAAUGAAACUUACAAAAACAUCAUAUAUGUAUUUCAUAUAUAUACAGGUCCUUCUCAAAAAAUUAGCAUAUUGUGAAAAAGUUCAUUAUUUUCCAUAAUGUAAUGAUAAAAAUUAAACUUUCAUAUAUUUUAGAUUCAUUGCACACCAACUGAAAUAUUUCAGGUCUUUUAUUGUUUAAAUACUGAUGAUUUUGGCAUACAGCUCAUGAAAACCCAAAAUUCCUAUCUCAAAAAAUUAGCAUAUCAUGAAAAGGUUCUCUAAACAAGCUAUUAACCUAAUCAUCUGAAUCAACUAAUUAACUCUAAACACCUGCAAAAGAUUCCUGAGGCUUUUACAAACUCCC
rnacentral:lncRNA from 1 species